rnacentral:rRNA from 1 species
AGUGAACGCUGGCGGUAGGCCUAACACAUGCAAGUCGAACGGCAGCACAGGAGAGCUUGCUCUCUGGGUGGCGAGUGGCGGACGGGUGAGGAAUACAUCGGAAUCUAAUCUGUCGUGGGGGAUAACGUAGGGAAACUUACGCUAAUACCGCAUACGACCUACGGGUGAAAGCAGGGGAUCUUCGGACCUUGCGCGAUUGAAUGAGCCGAUGUCGGAUUAGCUAGUUGGCGGGGUAAAGGCCCACCAAGGCGACGAUCCGUAGCUGGUCUGAGAGGACGUCCUGCCACACUGGAACUGAGACACGGGCCAGACUCCUACUGGAGGCAGCAGUGGGGAAUAUUGGACAAUGGGCGCAAGCCUGAUCCAGCCAUACCGCGUGGGUAAAGAAGGCCUUCGGUUUGUAAAGCCCUUUUGUUGGGAAAGAAAUCCAGCUGGCUAAUACCCGGUUGGGAUGACGGUACCCAAAGAAUAAGCACCGGCUAACUACGUGCCAGCAGCCGCCGUAA